rnacentral:tRNA from 1 species
GGUACUAUGGUGUAAUGGAUAGCACUCUGGAAUCUGAAUCCAGCGAUCCGAGUUCAAAUCUCGAUAGGACCU